AAAAAUAAUAAACACCCUUCUUAAAAACAAUUGAAACAUUAGAAAAGGAUAUCCAGUGGGAAGUAGGUCCACAUCUCUCAGAAGUGUUCCAUGCACAUACAAACAUGUUUUAUAUCAAUUUUUAACUCUAUCUUUGCAUAUCAUCUUAUUCUCUCCCUUUUUUCACAGGUACCAUGUGCUCUUCUGUACCUUGAUAUUUUUCACUUAAGUAUUUUUGGAGGUUUUUCCAGAACAGUACAUGUAGAUCAAGCUCAUUUUCAAUGCUGCAUGGUAUUCCAGGAUGGAGAUCUGGGGAGACAGAGUGGUAAGAAGAAUGGAAAAGAUCUUUCCCGAUUGAUAUUAUCGUGGUCAGUCUUCUCCAGACUCGGCAGAUAUUUUACAGUAACUCUCUUAUGUGGGGAUUCUUCAGAAACCCACCGAUGAAAGAAGACACCUUCAUUAAAAUAGACUUCUGGAUUUCCAUCAGUGACAGGCUUCUGGUGGGGCAGAGCCAAGUGGCAGCCCUUAACAGCCAGCAGCAAGCAGGCACUUCAGCUGAGUUCUGUGCAUGCUAAGGUCUGAGAACUCUGACCUUAAGAGAAGGAGAGGCUGGGAAGCCUUGAGAAGGGACCCUGUAACAUUGCUAAGGAAGAUGGUUAUUGGAGAAUGACUAUGGAUUCUUAUAGAAUCAUUCAGCAGCAUCCCUGGCCUCUACCCCCGGUUGUGACAUCCAGAAAUCUCUACAGACAUCGCCAGAUAUCCUUGGGGGAGCAAAAUUGCCCUCACUUGAGAAUCCCUGGCCUACAGCAUGUCUAGGUAAGCCUCGAGGUGAGUAAAGCACUGGCUGACACUUAACUGCAACGUCGUGAGAGACCCCGAGCCGGAUCUCUAUAACUAAGCUAUUCCUGGAUUCCUGACUCUCAGAAACCAUGAGAGAUGAUGAAUGCUUGUUGCUAAGUUUGGGGAUAAUUUGUUUUGCAGCAAUACACUGACCCACCAAGCCAUACGGCUGGUGUACACAGCAGCAAUUGUCGUCCAGUGUAGGUAGUGUACACCUGGAGUUGAGCAGGUCCUGAAUGUGCAGAUGGCGGAGGAAGAAACUGUUUGGACCAGGUUCACAGAUGGUCCCUUACAAUUUGAAGGCAUCAGAUAGAUGUGGACUGUAGAAGCAUUAUAGCCCGAAGCAGGGAUGGGAGCCCAGGGGAAUGCAGACAGCCCACGUCACACUCCUGAAGUUGCCAAAAAUCCCUUUAAAAUGAUGCAACAGAUGUCCCUCCUUGGGGUCGAGCGGAUAUAAAUCACAACGGUCUGCUUUCAAUUCCUAACUUGGUGUCUUAGGGGCAGCAAAAUCAAUCACUCUCAGGUGAGAAAGAGCCUCAGGAUCAGGGGGCAGGGUGCCUUCUCCAUGGAAAGAGGAUGGAGUUUAAGGUGAGACACAUGAGUUUGAAUCUGGACUGGCUCUGCCAUUGGCCGUAGGAACCUCAGGCAAGUCUCUCUGUAUCAAUGAAGUUCCAUGACCUCCUCUGUGAAAUGGGAAAACCAGCUACCUAGUGAUGUCCUGGUGAACAUCUGGCGCAUUUUAGGGGCUUCAAAAGAAUAGCUGUUAUUAUUACUUCUGAUUCACAGAAUUAGGUGUUUAUAGCUGAAAUGAAUCCCCAGGGAAGGCCUAUUUCCCCUCAUGGUAACAACCUCUUAGAGGUCGAGGCUGGGCCUUCCAGACCUACUCACGGGCCUCCCAAUAGACUUCCACUGCAACAGAAAUGCUUUUCUGCCUCUUUACAAUUGCAACCCAAAGGUCAAAUCAGGUCACUCCCCACCCCCCCACCCCCCAGCACGAUGCAACGACAGCAUUCAGCAAGCUCCCCCUUGCCCUACUUUGUGCAGAAUCGGGGUGGGGAGGGCAGGGCUAACACUGCUUCUCAUUCCAGGUUCUGCAGAACUCUACAGUUCUCUGAUCUCAGCAGACAUGUGGCCAGAGUCUCCCUCUCUUACCUCCUCAAAUCCUGCCUUUUCUUGAAUUUUUAGCAGCAUCUCCUCUCCACUGUCAGGCUGCCCAGGGAACCCAAACACUCUCCCUCUGGCCUUCUGCUGAGGGACUAAGUCCAUGGACCUAUCCUCUGGGCUCUGCUUCCACAGAAACAUGACCCGAAAGGCAGCUCUUUCCCUAAGAUCCUGGGGCCAGAUUUUUAAUAUUUACAUAUAUAACAUAAGCACAAAAUGGUAUAAAAAUCAAAAUAUACUUAAAAAAUUGUCUUUUUCACACCCAUGCCCAGUAACACAUUGUUGACACUUCCUCCCCUACUGUUAUUGGUUCCUUGUUUAUCUUUCCAGAGGCACUCUGUUCCUUACAAAACUUCUGUGUCUCUCUCUCCCUCCCUUAUUUAUUUAUUUGUUUGAUUUUAUUUCCCUUCCUUCUUUUCUCCCUUCCUUUCUUAUAAAUGAAACAUACUAUAUUUUUAGAUGCCUUGUUUUUUUUAACUUAACAAAAAUCAGUGCAUGGUUUAAGGCCACUGUUAAAUUUAGACUUUUUCUGUCCUCUGAGUGUUCUCCAAACCUUUAUGCUAUGUCACCCCUGUUGUUAAAAAUUGCUGAAGGCAUACCAAACUAUGUAUAAUUAUUCACUCAUUUAUAAAGUAUA